rnacentral:lncRNA from 1 species
CUUUAGUUGCGAAAAAUACGGGCAUAUUAAAGAACUGUGCCCGACGGUGAGUGUUAAGGUACCUUUAGAGAGGCCGGUGACUGAAAAUGCGGUGGCUCACAGGGAAGGUGUUGGAGAAGUCAGUAAUGGAAAGAGCGCCGAUUAUGGACCAUGGAUGUUAGCAGAGAGAAAAUCACGGCGGGGUAAACGGGACUGUCGGGCUAAAGGAGAUGUGAAACUUGGAAAGAACCCGUUGGGUUCCAGAUUUGCGCCAUUAAUGGUGGAUGGUAUCUCAGGGGGAGAUAUUAUUGGAGCUGAUGGGGGGUUGACUGAAGAGG